AUUGAACGCUGGCGGCAGGCCUAACACAUGCAAGUCGAACGAGUGGCGGACGGGUGAGUAAUGUCUGGGAAACUGCCUGAUGGAGGGGGAUACCUCCUGGAAACGGUAGCUAAUACCGCAUACCAUCAGAUGUGCCCAGAUGGGCUUAGCUUGUGGGUGGGGUAACGGCUCACCAAGGCGACGAUCCCUAGCUGGUCACAGAGGAUGACCAGCCACACUGGAACUGAGACACGGUCCAGAGGCCUACGGGAGGCGGAAGUGGGGAAUAGUGAGCAAUGGGCGCAAGCCUGAUGCACCCAUGCGGCGUGUAUGAAGAAGGCCUUCGGGUUGUAAAGUACUUUCAGCGGGGAGGCGUUACCCGCAGAAGAAGCACCGGCUAACUCCGUGCCAGCAGCCGCGGUAAUUC
rnacentral:rRNA from 1 species